rnacentral:lncRNA from 1 species
CCUAAACAUGUCUUGCGCAUACAAAUAUACUAAUUCAUAUCUGUAAAAAACCCACAUAGCAAACAAUACCCAGACCCCAAAAUUGGCUCUUUUGACAGGAGAACAAGUCUUGAUAAAGAUAUAGACUUAGAUAAAGUUGAAGUCUUUUAACUUACCUGAAAAAGAAUGAGAGAUGGCCUCUAGAACUCAAUCUUGAGCUCUUCUUUUUCAUCAGAGAGGUAAUGAAGAAUGUAAGGAGUAACGCGAACAACCGCUACCCACACCCCAAACAUGGCUACGUGUGCCUUCAACUGCUUCAAGGCUGCCGCCUUGUCUGGUUUGCGCAUAAACAUGCCUGGGAACAUCGUUGCUUCUCUUUGAUUUUUGUGUGCGCUGUAGAUUGGAGUCUGCGUCAAUGGAGAGGGAGGCUAAAACCCUAGAUAUUGUUGGGGUUUUAGUGCUACAAAGAGGAAGAAAUGUGGUACCUCAGGUGUUCAUGGACUUGGGUUUAGUUUUUUAAACCUAGGGUCGGAUUGGACUGACCCCAUCUAUUGUUCGAAAAUUAAAAAGUUAUAAAAAAUAAUUUUAUAUUAAAUUUAAAAUAUUUUUAUUAAAUUUUAAAUUGGGAAAUAAAGCUAUUUGUGUCCACAGUCAGCAAAGCGCGCUGACGUGAACGUAAUUUGCUGACACAUCUCCUGACUUCGCGCUGACGUGGACGUGAUUUAAGAAAAAAUAGCUCAUUUCGGUAAAUAAUAAAAUACCGGGCCCAUUUCGAUAAAUUAAAAAAAAUGACUUUUUUUGAUAUUUUACCCCUAAGUUUUGUAGUCGGAAAUUGGAUUUGAAUAUAUUUUUGACAUAUUCUUAAAUUUUCCUAUCAAAGUUCUUGUAUGAGAACUUUAGAAAUGUGAAACAAUAUUUAAAUUUUUUUUUAUCUUUUUAGUUAAAAAUUGAUUAAAAAAAUAACAAUGGUUAACUUUUUGAGAUAAAUUGGAUAACCAAGCCACUUAUAAUAAUAAUAAUAAUAAAGCUCUAAUUAACAAUUUAAGAAAAAUAGAUAAAACAUUUUAUGAUUUAAACCUUCAUAUCCUAAAAUAAUGUAUUCCUGCUUGUGAAUAUGGUCCAUGUAUAAUAUUAAUACUUUUUAUGCUUAUUCAAAUCUAAUUUCAUUUAAAAUAUAAACCUCAAAUUUUAUCUAAAAAAUCCAUUUAUAUUUCUAUAAAUAACUAAUUCAAACUCAUUUUAAGCUCACCCAUAUUUAUAAAAAUUUGCAUCAUAGCGUUAUAUAUUUUAUUUUAUAUGAAUUACAUAAUAUAUAUUAUAAAGUAGAAAACGAAAUAUGCCGAGCUUAAGCUUUGAGUGUUGGAGCUUAAGAUGAGCUCCUAUUUUAAACGGACUUAAUUUUUUUUGUCCAAGUUCAUUUUUCUAGUCUCAUAUGACUGUCCAAAGCUCUCAUAUUUCAAGCUAGUCUAUGGGCUUAGACUCUAGCAUAGGCAUAAUGGUAAGACCAUUUUUGGAGGCUCUUUUUAAGUACAUGCAACUUUUUAAGUAUCUGAAAAUAAACUGUAAUGGUAAGACACAACACUCUAGGGACAGAAGUCAAGUUUGAGUUCUCUCCUUAGAAAUGAGAUUGUUAGUAGAGGCAACCACAAAUCCCAAAAAGUUUAGUGUUGUAGAUCAUAAAAUACACAUGAAGAAUACUUUCAUUCCAACAAAAAGAUAGCCAUAUAUUCAGAAAAGUGUUGAUCUUAGGCUGUUAGACCUCAGCAUGUGAAAAUCUGGACAUCACUGCAAUAUCCAGUGCUAUCACUCUCAAAAUCCAAAUACCAACAGAACCAGUAAAAUGCAUAUUUAACUAGAUAUGACUAGUUUCAUUUCAAUGAAAAGACUAACAAGCAUGACCAAAGCAAGUACAUAAACAACCUAAUGUGAUUACACAUCAGCUUCAUACUAAAGCGAAAAAGGAACCUGGAACUUGCAAAUUCUUUUCAUUCUCCAGUUUUCUCCUUGUCAAUCCACUGCACCAUGUGAGGAGGAAAAAUCAGCAACAAACAAACAAUACAAAACAAAAUUGCUAGUAAAGUGAAUGCAGGACACGCACUAAGGGCUAAAAUAACGACUUUAACAAUGAUUCAUUGUCUAAAAGAUGACUCAAUCGUGGCUACUAAAUAUCGACUGAACUACAGGUGGAGUGGUAAAAGACGUGUGUUUAAGUCUUCAUUUGACAUCAGUCCUAGAUUCAAUCCCUAGACAACCCUUACCCUUAUGUUUAUACAAAAGUGUGCUAUUGAAUGAUUCACAUAGUUACUGAAUGGAGCAAAAUGUCUUCCCAACCACUAAAUUCAAAUUAAAGGCAUCAAUUGACUGAUUAUCUUAAGCAAGGAUCACAGUAAAAAGAAAAAAACAGUAUUCUACUUUAAUUGCCACCAUAAAGUUGUCAUUAAUACUAACAUGACAUCAUAAACAAAGAAUAGCACAUUAGGUAAUUCCUAGAGGAAAAGGCAACAAGAGACAAAGCAACUAAUUUUGAUAAUGGGAUCAUUUAGAACAAAAGAAACCAAGAAAAAUCUAAAAACCAGUCAUACCAUUUGGCAAAGGGGAAGGCACUAAAGCACACUUAGGCAGAUGUAUAGGAAGAAUGGCUUUCAUAGCUAUUAUAACACAAUCUACUAGUAACAAGACACUAGUCGUAAAACUCAAGGAAAUCAACUAUCAGAGUCCAGCUUCCUAUGGACAAAGAAAAUGCCAUUAUUCUAUUAGUCCUUUUUUUUCCCCUUUCUUUCUUUCUUUCUUUCUUUCUUUAAGUCUUAAUUUCUAAUCCAUCACCCAGAAUUCCUUUCCAAUUACAUUGCCUUCUUGAGUAUAACUAUUUGGAGAACUUUCAAUUACAUCAAAUUAACCACAUCCAAAACCUCUUCUUCCAUUGCAUCACUCAGAUUAUCCCCCUAAACAUGUCUUGAACAUACAAAUACUUGCAAAAAUAAUUCAUAUAUGUAAAAACCCACAUAGCAAACAAUACCCAAUCCCCAAAAUUUGCCCUUUUCUUAAAUCACCUGAAAAGAAUGAGAGGUGGCCUCUAGAACUCAAUCUUGAGCUCUUCUUUUUCAUCAGAGAGGUAAUGCAGAAUGUAAGGAGUGACACGAACCACAGCUACCCACACUCCAAACAUAGCUACGUGGACCUUCAACUGCUUCAAGGCCGCCGCCUUAUCUGGUUUGCGCAUAAACAUGCCUGGGAACAUCGUUGCUUCUAUUUGAUUCUGU